GUUGUAGAUGUGCUCUGUAGUGGGAUCGGUGACAGAGGUUAUCAAAUCAAGUUUCCCUGAGUGACAUUGCUGUAGCUAUCUGGAUGACAAUUUGUGGGAGUCAUCAAGGGCAGAGGCAGAGAGAUAACUUGGCCUGGAGCACCAACAGCACGUUGCCUUAAGGUGCUAACAAGGUAACUGGAGACAGGAAGAUCAGCACAAGAUGUGUCAGAAAGCCUUGAAUGUGAGCAGGAGGCACGUACUGCUGCCUCAGAAAGGUCCCCAGCAUAAAGCCAAAUCUCAAGGGCAGUGGUACUAAAGGAGGAAAAAUGGCCGCCGUUCUCCUGAUAAGAGGAUUCAGAAGUGAACUCUGCAUUGGAAGCUCUGUAAUGCUAAGCUCCGCUCCCACAACAAAUCUUGGGGUUCCAAAGGAGUCAAAUUUCUCAGGGAGAUUGAAAAAAAAAACCUGGGAGGCAGCAGAAAAGGCACAGCUAUGAUUGAAUUCCUGCUGGUGUUCUGCAGUCAAUGGAAAAAACAUCUGAAAGGAACUGUGCUAUGGCCGAUACUUGUUCCUCUGUACCGUCUACCCUCAGUUUGAAGUCAGACAACCAUGCAUAUAGCUGAGUAUUGAAGCCUUUGCUGCCUUGAUACAAGGUUCCAAGUUUAAUCCCCUGCAUUUCCAGCACUGAGAAAGAUGGGCCAGAGAGCACAGCUGCUUAAUGGGACCAACUCUCAGUUCAGGACAUCACUCACAGUCUGUGCUAUUAUUUUCUUUAUCGAUACCUGCUCAGAAAGGGAUUUAAUGGGCUAAAAUUCCCAAUAAACAAUUCAGUAAAUAUUUUCAUAUCUGGUCACAAUCUUGUGGAUAGAGACCCCACUUUUAUCAAGGUAGAUCACUCUCUC